GGACAGAUGGCCGAGCUGGUUAUGGCGCCAGGUUAAGGUUACCUUGACGACAUCUCCUGGUCACGAAAGUGGCGUGGGUUCGAGUCCCACUCUGUUCA
rnacentral:tRNA from 2 species